UACGUAGGGUGCGAGCGUUAAUAGGAAUUACUGGGCGUAAAGCGUGCGCAGGCGGUUGUGUAAGACAGGUGUGAAAUCCCCGGGCUUAACCUGGGAAUUGCAUUUGUGACUGCACGGCUAGAGUUUGGCAGAGGGGGGUAGAAUUCCACGUGUAGCAGUGAAAUGCGUAGAUAUGUGGAGGAAUACCGAUGGCGAAGGCAGCCCCCUGGGUCAAGACUGACGCUCAUGCACGAAAGCGUGGGGAGCAAACAGG
rnacentral:rRNA from 1 species